rnacentral:rRNA from 1 species
GACGAACGCUGGCGGCGUGCUUAACACAUGCAAGUCGAACGGAAAGGCCCUGCGUUUGUGGGGUGCUCGUUUGGCGAGCGGGUGAGUAAAACGUGAGUAACCUGCCCUUGACUUUGGGAUAACUUCAGGAAACUGGGGCUAAUACCGGAUAGAAGCUCCUGCUGCGUGGGGGGGGAUGGAAAGUUUCGGCGGUUGGGGAUGGACUGGCGGCAUAUCAGCUUGUUGGUGGGGUAGUGGCAUACCAAGGGUUUGACGGGUAGCCGGCCUGAGAGGGUGAACGGCCACCAGGGGACUGAGAUACGGCGCAGACUCCUACGGGAGGCAGCAGGCGGGAACAUGGCACAAUGGGCGGACGCCUGAUGCAGCAACGCUGCGUGCGGGAAGACGGCCUUCGGGGUGUAAACCGCUUUCGCAUGUGACGAAGCGUGAGUGACGGUAACGGGUAAAGAAGCACCGGCUAACUACGUG